rnacentral:piRNA from 1 species
UACAUGUGUUCUUCUACAUAA